CUAUCCUUUUGGAUAAGCGUUUAUUAGAUAAAGAACCAACAUAUUGGUGCUUCAUGGUAACCAUUCGAAUCGUAGAUUUUCUGCGAUGGUUCAUUCAAGUUUCUGACCUAUCAGCUCUCGACGGUCGGGUAGUGGCCCACCGUGGCUUUGACGGGUGACGGGGAAUUGGGGUUCGAUUCCGGAGAGGGAGCCUGAGAAACGGCUACCACGUCUAAGGAUGGCAGCAGGCGCGUAAAUUACCCAAUCCCGAUUCGGGGAGGUAGUGACAAGAAAUAGCAACUCGAGGCUUAUGUCUUGUGAUUGCAAUGAGUAGAAUCUAAACGUUUCUACGAUUAACAAUUAGAGGGCAAGUCUGGUGCCAGCAGCCGCGGUAAUUCCAGCUCUAAUAGCGUAUAUUAAAAUUGUUGCAGUUAAAACGCUCGUAGUUGAAUAUCUGUCUCCUGAUUGUUUGGUCCGCUUUGCGUGCACCAAACGUCAGAGGCAUCCGUUUGUAAUUUUCUAAAUUGCAAACCGUUCACUUUGAGGAAAUUAGAGUGUUUAAAGCAAGCUUUGCCUUGAAUACUUCAGCAUGGAAUG
rnacentral:rRNA from 1 species